rnacentral:lncRNA from 1 species
UAAAAUUCAACAAAAUAUACGAUACAUCUAAGUUCCAUUUUAAACGUACCUUUGUCCUGAUGACAAACGAACAUUAUCAAACAUAAAUAUAUAUAAACACAAAUACACUAUCAUCCUCUUUUGAUUCUAAAUAUUUCAUGAUUGUCAUACUAAAUUUUUGCAAAAAAAUAAUUUAAAUGAUAAUUCAAAAAAAAAAAUACUUGUGUUCCCGACAAUGCGAUGAUAAAAUAAGGGUAGAUAGAUAGAUAAAUGAUUGUUUUAUAAAAGGGUUUUGAUGGGUAGUACAUGGGAAACAGUCUUCCGACUAUGAUAGAGUAUGUUUAAAAAAAUAACAAAAUAAUCUCGAGUGUAGAUACAAAGUGAGUGGAAACACAAGUUUUUUUUUGUUAGGCCUUAAAAGCAUAAUUCAUGGUUAUACAUAGUUAGCAAGUCAAAUAGCUUUCUCUAUUAUCCUAUUGUAGGUAAAAUUAAGGGUUGGGUGUCGUGUUGGGUUUGCAUAGGUUAGGUAAAUGGGUAGAAUAUAGACGCAGCAAAUUUACAAUGAAUUGCAAUCAAACUGAUUUAUUGUAAGUUUAAUCUAUAUUUUGGUUUCGUUAUUAUCAUUUCACAACUUAAAAAAAUAAUGAAUGUGUAAUUUUAUAAUUCCAAAACCACAAAAACACCUGAUAAAUCUCGUACGGGAAAAAAACUUCGAAAGAUACUGAAUUUUAAAUAAAUCAAGACAUUCUUGCCAAAAUCGUCGCAAUAUACAAGAAAUAGGUCGUGUACAAUACCAAAAAUAAAUAUAAAGUCGACAAUUGGGACGCGUAAUGAUCGGAUACGACAUCAGAACGAGGGCGCAAAACUUCAAAUAACUAGUGGAUAUUCCAGUCCAUUUUAACGAAAUAUUUAUCAGUUCACUUGCAUUUUCGAUUGCCCAAUUUAGCGGGAAAAGCCCUCUCCAUAACACCGUAAACAAUAAUUUUGGAUGGUUUGAUUUAAAAGUUAACUGUUUGCAUUUACAGUUUGAUUAAAAAUGGAACGAACUAUGCGGUUUGAAACCAAAGAGAGGAGAGAAAAGUGAAUAAUGUGACGUAUGCUGUAAUGGGAUUGAUAAAAUAUCCGGAAACGUCAAAAAUUAGCACGGACAUGCUCGGUAAAUAUUAUGAACUGCACAGAAAUAUUUUCAUGGAUAAAAUAGUUCGAUUUUUUUAAGUAAUCUGUAAUCUGUAUUAUAGUAUUAUUAUCUUUAUUCUAGAGUAGAAUGAGUGAACAUGAAACAGUCGAGUUUUUAUCUAGACUUUAACGAAUAGACUUGUAGCAAAUGAGUUCACAAAAAUAACAUAGUU